rnacentral:ncRNA from 1 species
UACUAUAUAUAUAUAUAUAUAUAUAUAUAUAUAUAUAUAUAUAUAUAUAUAUACAGGUAAACGGCGGGAGUAACUAUGACUCUCUUAAGGUAGCCAAAUGCCCUCGUCAUCUAAUUCGUGACGCGCAUGAAUGGAUUAACGAGAAAAGGAGCUUUGUCUA